rnacentral:misc_RNA from 1 species
CCAGGGAGCGCGAGAGGCAGAGAAGCAGAGAAGCAGAGAGAGAGAGAGAGACAACGAGGCGACGAUGAGCAUCCAGGUCACUUUGUUUCUUGGCGUUCUUGUCUCUGUUGGGGCAGCCACAGAGCACCCGGUCGAGGAUGCCCGUCCCUGGGAGAUGCAUCUGAAGCAGCUGAGUCCCAGCGCCUCCAACGCGGUCCAGGCUGAUGCUGUAAUGGGUCUCCUCAAGCGCUUGAUUCCUGACCGCGCGAAGGACUUCAUGGUGACCAUAGAUCCUUCCAUUGGACCUCAGUAUAAGGAUACGUUCAUGGUAACGUCCCCCGGAACCAACGUGAGCGUGGACGUCGUAGGAACCACGGGCGUUGCAGCUGCAUGGGGACUCUUGCACUACCUCAAGUACUCCUGCAACACGCACGUCUCUUGGGAGGCUGACCAGCUGGAUCUGCCGGACGCCCUUCCGGCUGCCCAGAUCAAGGUCACUUCUGUGGACAGGUUCCGCUACUAUCAGAACGUGUGCACCGUGUCCUACUCCAUGGCCUGGUGGGGCUGGGACCGCUGGGAGAGAGAGAUCGACUGGAUGGCACUCAAUGGCAUCAACCUCCCCCUGGCAUUCACGGGACAGGAGGCCAUCUGGCACCGCGUUUACACCACCAUGGGACUCACACAGGAGGAGCUGGAUGAGCACUUCUCAGGACCUGCUUUCUUCGCCUGGGCACGCAUGGGGAACAUCCGCGGAUGGGGGGGCCCUCUGUCCAUGGCUUGGCACAACCAGACCCUCGCCCUCCAGCACAAGAUCCUCGACAGAAUGAGGCAGUUUGGGAUCCUACCGGUCCUACCUGCCUUUGCUGGCCAUGUGCCCGCGGGGCUGACCAGAUUGUACCCUGAGGCGAACAUUACUCGCAUGUCAAGAUGGGUCAACUUCCCCGACCAGUAUUCCAGAACCUACUUGCUGGAUCCAAACGACCCGCUCUUCCUGAAGAUUGGCUCUGCAUUCAUUCAGGAGAUCAUAAGUGAGUUCGGUACCGACCACAUUUACAACUGCGACACCUUCAACGAAAUGAAACCAGCGUCGAAUGACCCGGCUUAUUUGAAGGGCGUCGGUGCUGCCAUCUAUGGAGGGAUGGCACAAGCUGAUCCCGGUGCCAUCUGGGUCAUGCAAGGAUGGAUCUUCUACAACGCACAGCAGUUCUGGCACACCGAGCAGGCAAAGGCACUGCUCACUUCAGUGCCAAUUGGUCGCCUCCUAGUCCUCGACCUAGCAUCCGAACGAGCCCCCCAGUACAACCGCCUCGAGUCGUACUUCGGCCAGCCUUUCAUCUUCAACAUGUUGCACAACUACGGGGGCGUGGACGGGCUCUUUGGCAAUGUUGGGACACUGUUGCAGAACCUGAAGGAGGCGCGCGCGUACCCUAACGUGACGAUGGUGGGCACAGGACUCACGCCCGAAGGAAUCAACCAGAAUUACGUCAUGUACGACUUCAUGAACGAGAUGGGCUGGAGGCAGGAGGCGCCCAACGUCACGCAGUGGGCGGGCAACUACUCGGGCCGGAGGUACGGGAGCAAUGAUCCCCGUCUGGUCACCGCCUGGCAGUACUUAAUGCGCAGUGUUUACAACGAGUCCUCCCAAACAGCGAACCACGGACAGUACGUGUUGGUGACUGUACCGAGGCUGGACCGCAAACCUGACGGGAUGUGGUAUAACAUGACCGACGUCGUCGCUGCUUGGGACCUGCUGGUGGAGGUUGCCAGGGGCGACGCGGACGACGCCUCGAGGGCACACGAGGAUCUGGAAGGAGUUGGUAUGGAUCCGGCCAUUCCUGCAGGACAGGGCGCCAUAAAGCAGGGGGAUGCGAGGCGAGGAGGCAGCGAGCAGGAGGGAAAUCCGCCCCCCCGCCGCGGCUUCUCGGCGAGGGAGGAGGAUGCCGACCAACAGGGCUUCAUAGCAACCGUGGGGGGAGACGCCCCUAUGCCGCGACACAGCCUGGAAAGGAACCGCGAGCCACAACAGCAACGACUAAGGCGGAGCGUUCAGCCGAGGCCUGUGCCCCCCGCACGUCCCAGCUACGCCGGGGAGGCUUCUGGCCCGCAACAGCAGGACAUGAGUAAGGAGGACUACCACGAGGAAGGCGGAGACAGGAGGUGGGACGCUCGCGAGGGGGGCGAGGGGGGCGAGGGGGGCGAGGGGAGGGAAGGAGAGCGAGAGGCGCGGCGACCGAGAGAGAGGCGGGCGAAAGUCACUGAUCAGGACACGUUCAGACAUGAUCUGGUGGAUGUCACGAGGCAGAUUUUGCAGGUCACAGGCGGUCAGAUGGUUAUGAAAAUGAUCGAUCACUACCGAAAUAAAGUCCUACUGGCAGUUCAAGAAUCCCACUUGCUGCUCAUAGACUUGCUGAAGGACAUGGAGGAACUGCUGGCCUCUUCCCCGGACUUCCUUCUUGGGCGCUGGCUGAGGGACGCCGCUUCUUGGGCCACCACGCAGGAGGAGCGAGACCUCUACUUGUACAACGCCCUCAACCAGAUCUCGCUGUGGGGUCCUCAGGGGCAGAUUACCGACUAUGCUGUGAAGCAGUGGGCGGGCGUGGUGAGUGAUUACCUGAUGCCUCGCUGGGACAAGUUCGGGAGGGCGCUGGUGGAAUGCCUGGCGGAGGGGAAGCCCUUCGACCAGCUGGCUUUUGGUGAGGACCUGUUCAAGACGGUGGAGGAGCCCUUCACCAAGAACGUUAAUCGCACGUUCAACUCGGAGCCAAUCGGUGACAGCGUGGAGAUAGCACUUCGCCUCCACGCCAAAUACCGGCCUGUUUACGACGCACGUUUUCUGGGAUACCUGGAGCAGCGACAUCGACAGCUAUUGGUUAAAGGGGAGAGGAAGAUGAAGAGGAAGAUGAAGAAGGAGGGGAAGCUAAAGAAGGGAAUGGUGAAGAAGAUGAAGAAGGAGACGAUGAAGAAGAAGGGGACGAUGAAGGUGGAAGAGGAAGAUGAUGGACGGGAGAUGAAGAUGGAGCUGGAUUCGUGGCGUGAGAACAGCAUCAAAGCAUUUGAAGAAUAGAGAUAGGAAGGGAGUGAGUGAUGAAAGCGGGCAUGGAGGGAGGGUGGAAAAGAGAGAAGAGCACAGAGAGAGAUGGAGAGGGAGAUAGAGAGAGAGAGAGAGGUAAAAGGAGAAGGAGAUGUAAAGGUAGAGGAAGAGGGAGAAGGAGAGAGAAAGAGAGAGAGAACAAGGAUGAGAGGUAGAGAAUAACUAUUCAAAUAACAAACUGCUCUACCACAAAGGACGCAGAGGCAACGAUGAUCAUACUUCUAGCUUUAGUCUUGUGUAAGAGGAUGAUUGUAUAUGUAAUAAGACGAUUUUGGUUUGAUUAUGAAGGAAGAUGAAAUAAAAAUUACUAGAAAAA